GAUCAUGGCUCAGGAUGAACGCUGGCGGCGUGCUUAACACAUGCAAGUCGAACGGAGCGCUCAUGACGGAGUUUUCGGACAACUGAUUGAGCUGCUUAGUGGCGGACGGGUGAGUAACGCGUGAGUAACCUGCCUUGGAGUGGGGAAUAACACAGGGAAACCUGUGCUAAUACCGCAUGAUGCAGUUGGGUCGCAUGACUCUGACUGCCAAAGAUUUAUCG
rnacentral:rRNA from 1 species